GACGAACGCUGGCGGCGUGCUUAACACAUGCAAGUCGAACGGAAAGGCCCUGCUUUUGUGGGGUGCUCGAGUGGCGAACGGGUGAGUAACACGUGAGUAACCUGCCCUUGACUUUGGGAUAACUUCAGGAAACUGGGGCUAAUACCGGAUAGGAGCUCCUGCUGCAUGGUGGGGGUUGGAAAGUUUCGGCGGUUGGGGAUGGACUCGCGGCUUAUCAGCUUGUUGGUGGGGUAGUGGCUUACCAAGGCUUUGACGGGUAGCCGGCCUGAGAGGGUGACCGGCCACAUUGGGACUAAGAUACGGCCCAGACUGCAACGGGAGGCAGCAGUGGGGAAUAUUGCACAAUGGGCGGAAGCCUGAUGCAGAAACGCCGCGUGCGGGAUGACGGCCUUCGGGUUGUAAACCGCUUUCGCCUGUGACGAAGCGUGAGUGACGGUAAUGGAUAAAGAAGCACCGGCUAACUACGUG
rnacentral:rRNA from 1 species